CCCUCUUACAAAGGCAUGUCUGUUUUCCUGUCUUUGGACACGUAAGAAUUAGAAAGACCGAAAUGUGGGCUUGAGGUAGUUCCUGGGCUGGCUUGUUCUCUGCAGGCUCAAGAAUAACCAUUCCAUGCAG